UACGGAGGGAGCUAGCGUUGUUCGGAAUUACUGGGCGUAAAGCGCGCGUAGGCGGCUUUGUAAGUUAGAGGUGAAAGCCCGGGGCUCAACUCCGGAAUUGCCUUUAAGACUGCAUCGCUAGAAUCCGGGAGAGGUGAGUGGAAUUCCGAGUGUAGAGGUGAAAUUCGUAGAUAUUCGGAAGAACACCAGUGGCGAAGGCGGCUCACUGGCCCGGUACUGACGCUCAUGUGCGAAAGCGUGGGGAGCAAACAGG
rnacentral:rRNA from 1 species